GCGCCCAUAGCUCAGUGGUUAGAGCACCACGCUUAUAACGUGGGGGUCGAUGGUUCAAGUCCAUCUGGGCGCACUA
rnacentral:tRNA from 1 species